rnacentral:rRNA from 2 species
GGGUUGCGGACAGUGUCUGGUGGGUAGUUUGACUGGGGCGGUCUCCUCCUAAAGAGUAACGGAGGAGCACGAAGGUCAGCUAAUCCUGGUCGGACAUCAGGAGGUUAGUGCAAUGGCAUAAGCUGGCUUGACUGCGAGCGUGACGGCGCGAGCAGGUGCGAAAGCAGGUCAUAGUGAUCCGGUGGUUCUGAAUGGAAGGGCCAUCGCUCAACGGAUAAAAGGUACUCCGGGGAUAACAGGCUGAUACCGCCCAAGAGUUCAUAUCGACGGCGGUGUUUGGCACCUCGAUGUCGGCUCAUCACAUCCUGGGGCUGAAGUAGGUCCCAAGGGUAUGGCUGUUCGCCAUUUAAAGUGGUACGCGAGCUGGGUUUAGAACGUCGUGAGACAGUUCGGUCCCUAUCUGCCGUGGGCGCUGGAGAAUUGAGGGGGGCUGCUCCUAGUACGAGAGGACCGGAGUGGACGCAUCACUGGUGUUCGGGUUGUCAUGCCAAUGGCAUUGCCCGGUAGCUAAAUGCGGAAGAGAUAAGUGCUGAAAGCAUCUAAGCACGAAACUUGCCCCGAGAUGAGUUCUCCCUGACCCUUUAAGGGUCCUGAAGGAACGUUGAAGACGACGACGUUGAUAGGCCGGGUGUGUAAGCGCAGCGAUGCGUUGAGCUAACCGGUACUAAUGAACCGUGAGGCUUAACCUUACAACGCCGAAG